rnacentral:lncRNA from 1 species
GACUUCUACUGUCUUGGUUUCUAAAAAAAAAGUUUUAUCUUUGCCUGGACUUUAACCAAGUCUUGACUGGUUUAUUUAUUAUUUUUUUUGUAAAGCAGACUGUAUUGAGAAUGUAACCAAAGGUGUGCCUAGAAACAAACUGUACACAUAUUGUGUGUAUUUUGAAACUUACCUCUGAUGAAAGUGUGGUAUGUGCGUUUCUGUUGUUUCCUUCCAUUCUGAACUGCCCUACACCUUGCUGCUACGAAGUGUCAUACAAGCAAAGACUGGCAUUUAUAACAGUCUUAUGGGACUGCGUGCCCUAGAGAAGAAUCUAUGGAAUUUUGUUCCGUUGCCUACUCAGACACACUUGCUGGAGUCAGUUGCAUGUAUCAGACUGAAGUCGGCUAUUAAGUAAAAUCCAUGAGGGAGCUGUCUCCUUCUCACUGGUCCUCAGCAGAUGAACAAUCCCAGGAAGAGUUUUCAGCCUGUGUGCUCUCUAUACCUUGACAAAUCUUGUGUCCUGCUCCCAGAAGUCCAAAGGUGAAAAGUGGUAAGUGUGUGUAUACAUGCAGGGAGGACAAGGAAAGACUCAUCUGCCCUGUUUUACAUUCA